UGAGCUGGUUCAAGUUCUCCUGCAAAAUGCCUCGGCAUGGCUCUAGUUUGGUUUGGAUGAUAGACUGGGGCUCUUACGACAAGGAUCCUUGAAGCUUAGGCAAACACCGAAGCACGACAAGUGUAGACUCCUGAGCAAAGAGAAUCUGAAGAAUAAAUUGAGUCGACGAGAAUGUUACUCUGUCAGAUCUGAGAGGAUAACUGGGUUCAUAAUGUCGCCGUGUAUACAAAGUAUAAUUGUAGGCGCCACAGCAAAACGAGAGGGUUGUAGGCAAGGGAUGCUCAAAUCAAACGAUCGUGGACUAACUUGGAGAAGAAAACUGUGGCGAUGAGGUUGUACUGGAGGAAAAAUUGCCACCUCUCCUUCAACUUGCAGAUUCCAUUCGCAAAGUCCUGAGAGGAGGAUGUUGAACUGAUUUCUGUACGCUACUUAUCCCGUAUCAUUCAUGUCUGGUGUAAAGAGCCUGGUUAGAGCAUUUCUUUAUCGGAAAUCCGAUUCCUGAUACAAAAUUGAAUUUUCG
rnacentral:misc_RNA from 1 species